CGCGAAAGCUACAAGAUCAUGGACAACCAGUCCAGAGGUCAAACACACUCAUACACACUGUCCACAGUGGCCCUAGGGUGCACAAUUGCACAAAAGCACCUAUGUUUACAUAAAAUCCAUCAUUUUAUGUAAAUCGGGCGACUUAUAUAGCUUGAUCGCCCAAACCGAGGGCUUCCAAGGUCCGCCGAGACACGUACUGACAGGUCUCGACGUACCGGAGGCCGUGCUCAUGAUCUGGAGCACAAUAGCUCACUGUGGGAAGCGCGGGAGCAACCCGAAGGUUCAGCGAACAGCGCGCAGUCAAGGGAGAUCGCGCCGAACAGGACUAACCAGAGACUGCUG
rnacentral:lncRNA from 1 species